AAGCGCGGCGGGCGGCCACGGUUCGGCCCCGCGCGGGUCCGCGAGCCGCCGGCCGGCUCCCGCUCGCACGUGCUUUGCCCCCAGGCCCAGGCUUGGGACCCGCGGGUCCCGGGAGCCCGUCGUGAGAGCCUCCCUCCGCCGCGCAGCGCGGGCCGAAGCUCUGGCCCUGGGAGGCUGCUUUAAAGUCCGGGCAGGGGAGAAGGGCGCCUGAUCUCUUGCCCUGUGGCGCUGCCCAUCGUCCCACCGAGUCCCUGCUGCAGCGCCCGGCCCAGCGAAGGCAUGGCCUGUCCUUGGCUCUUCCUAGCCCUUCUAAGUCGCAGUCCAGGAAGUCUUUGCGUCCGGACCCUGUCCUCACUUUCGUACGGUGGUGCCACGGCGUCUUACUAUCCCCCGCCUGCAUUGCCCACGAUGGAGAGGUGGGCCGAAGUUACUGAAGGGUGUGCCUCCUCGCGCUACCCCUUUUCAAGGUCAGGCCGCCUGCCGAUAGAGACCCUUUCGUCCGCUGCCUAAUUGCAGUUCCAUUCACCUCAGUACCUGAGAAGAGUUUGUUCAUACUGCACCGUGGCCAACGUCUCUUAGUAGUGGCCAGACUCUUCUAAUAACCCUCCUCUCUCCUGUCUCCCUCACACCAGCCACAAAGGCUUUCAAAGCUGAAAGGUCCAAAGGCAGAAGAAGGUGAACUGAAAAGCCGACAGUCCUCAUGGUAAAGAAUGAUAGAGGGAGGUCUUCGGACACGUAAAUGUCAGACUUCCUCUCCCGUUUGCGUCCCUGUCCUGCCGGCAUCAUGACUUCCGCCCCAGGUUAGCCCCAAACAUCUUCCGGCCCCGGGGCUUUCGGAGCCGUCAGGAGGGAUGUUGAGGGAUGUUGCUCGUCACUGCUGACCCCAUGCUUUCAUCUGGGGCUCGUCACUGGCGUUCGGAAAGGGCUUUGGCUUUGAUCAAUUUUUCUGCUCUGUCAAACUAAGCCCUCCCCACAUGUAAGUAUUGCCGGGUUCUUCCCUUUCCUUCGUGGGUUGAGAUACAGGCCCUCAGACCUUGCUGCUCGAAGUAGGAUCCACUGACCAGCGGCGUCCACACUCCGGAAGCUUGUUACAAAUGCAGAAGCUCAUGAAAUGCAGGGCCUCACCCAGACGUCUCAAUAAGCAGAAUUAGAAUCUGCUUUUCAGUGAAACCUACAGCGGAAUGCACAUGAAACCUGAUGAAUUUUAUUCUCAGGUCUGAUAUUUAAAUGUCUUUUAAGCUCAAUUUAAUUUAAUUAAAACAAUUUUUU